UGGCUGUCGUGGUCAAAAAGUUAGAAGGUUGCCUUUGAGCCUUGGGCGUCGCUUCACACACCACUUGUUCAUGCGUGCCUCACUCGGGAUUUCGGGUCGUCCAUCGUACUCGUAUGUGUAAACUACGAUUGCUACGGGGCGCUAAGCAAUGGAGAUGAUACUUGAGGGAAGCAAUUCUGCAGAGACAUCCCCACCCGGAGUUGGCGAUGUGAGAUUACACCGUGGCAAGAUAUGCGAAGUUUCGGGCUAGUUGGGUGAUCAACUUUUUU
rnacentral:SRP_RNA from 1 species